CACUCGUAGCUCAUUGGAACGGAUCCACAAAUCUUUCAGUCAUCAUGUCCUGCUCAUCAUAUUCAAUGAUAUCCUGAUGUAACCUACUCCGAUCUAUUUCCCGUACAUCGGUGGAUCACGUCAGUUUUAUACGAAUGUCUUCUGAAUCACUCUGGAUCCUAUCGAUGCCAUUUGUCGCUCAGUGUCCAUUGACUUUACCUUUUUAUUUUCGGUUAGAUUAAAUGAUUUGUCUAAAGUAGAAAUAUAGCGCUGUGUACGUACAAUGUAAUUCGAUUUUGCCGAUUAUAUGGUUUUGUUUCAAUAGAUGAGUGGAUACCAUAGACGGUAGAUAAAUGGACGGGACACUUCAACCAUAGGGCGGAACGUUUGUAAAUUGUAAAUUGUUUCUAGACGGAGACAUGUACAGCGGUUCCGCGCUAAACGGAAAGAAACAGGAGGCGUGGGGACAAGUUUUGGUAUUUUGUGAUUUAUUGACAAAAAUUGGAAAAUGUCUGGAUUAUCCAGAACGGAACUGGAGGGUUGCAGGAAAAUGCUAAGCUGUCUGAAAGGUUGCGAUUUAAUUGCACUUUGUGAUACCGUCACUAACAGAAUGAUUGCGGUGGAAAACACAAGAGAGGCAAUGGACGCUAUCUUGACGUACAGUCAGAGUGCUGAAGAAUUACUGAAGCGAAAGAAGGUGUAUCGUGAAGUUAUAUUUAAGUACCUGGCCAGUGAGGGUAUUGCCAUGCCUCCCGACGCCGAGAAGAAUCAGCUCGUGAGGAGAACCCUGCAGUUUUGGGCUCUGAAUACGAGGGCCUCUUAUGUUUCAACAACAGCAGAUGACAAAAAGGAUGUACCAAGUUCAGGAGAAGAGAUCAGUGCGUGUGACUACAUGGCCCUGGGAAAGCAGUUCUGUCAGUGGUUCUACAACCUCGUGAACACCCAGAAUCCCACACUGUGUCAAGAACCACUGGACUGGGGUCCCCAGCAUUUUUGGGAGGACGCACGGCUGAUGCUUUGCUACAGCGCAGAAGUGCAGCAAACGGACAGGUUUCAGGGGGCCGAGCUGGUCAGCCAGCGUUUCCUCGCUCUCGUAAGGGACGAGAGACUCUUCUUCAGCCCCAACCUGGAGCCCCACGGACUGAAGUGCGAAGCCACUCCCCACGGGCUGGUGAUGGCGGCCGUAGCCGGAACAAUCCACCGCGAACGGGCCUGUCUGGGAAUCUUCGAGCAGGCGUUCGGCCUCAUACGCUCCCCACUGGAUGCCAACAGCUGGAAGAUCAAGUUUACACAUUUGAAAAUAAGACGGCAGAAUGAACUCACUGGAGAAGAGGAAAUGACAUCACCAGCAUUAACAUACAACUCAAAAGAACUUCUGUCGCUCUGUGAAUGAGGAUUCAAAUAUGCCUUUUGUAAUUAUAUGUAGAGGCAAUGAACGCGAUCUUGACGCACAAUCAGAGUGCUGAAGAAUUACUGAAGCGAAGGAAGGUGUAUCGUUAAGUUAUAUUUAAGUAUCUGAUCAUUGAGGGUGUUGACAUGUCUCCCGAGCCCGACAAGAAUCAGCUUGUGAGGAUGGCCCUGCUGUUUUGGGCUUCGAAUUCGACGUCCCAGCAACAGUCCCAUCAACCUGGUGGACACACAGACGUCCCGAUGGCACGAAGCAGAACUACCCGGCGGGGCAUUCAGUAUCGACGAGACCGCCGGCGGGACCGUAGGCAUCAACGACACCAUGGGCCGAGCCUUCAGCCUAAUCAAAACCAACAAUAUGGAUAUCGACAGGGCGGUCAUUUUCUGCGAGGCCAACAGCAGGACCUUCAACGUGAGACUGUGAGCAGGGCCUCCGGAACCCCCGAGAGCAGCAGAGUCUUCAGCAUUAACGAGACAAUCAGCAUCGGCAGGACCUUCAGGAUUGGUGAGACUAACGACACCAGCAGGACCAACCGCUAGUCGUCAUAGUUUGAGGGGCACAACACUGACAACUACAGAGUCGGCCAGUGUGUGGGGUGCCCCUUUUCUAAUUGAGAGCACCUGGGGGAAACCCUAUAAUAAGGAAGUCCCAGUGCUUUCUGCCCCGUUCUGUCCCUCUUUCUCACUGAAUUCUAGGUAAUCCUGCUCCAGGUCGGGCGGUUCGACGGCCCAAUGGUUUUUUUCCUUCACCCUCCUUUCUUCACAGGUUUUAUGUUGUACAUUCACAUCCCAUUGUUGCAGACACACAACCACACACUUAAUAUAAAUACCCUACAUUUCACUCAUACAUGCAUCAUUGUCUUAAUAAAUCAUUCCUUUGUUUAAAAAUAUA